GGCCUGUGAUGUCAGAAAAAUAUUUGCUACUCUUGAUGUGGGGUGUUUUCCUUCAUCCUCCAUCUGAUGAUUUUUUAUCCACCAAGAUCUCUGAGGCC